UGGGACUGUGUUGCUCAGAACAUUAAGAUCAGUGUUGUUCUGGGUUUUUCACAUGUCCCUAUAUCAAUGUUUAUUGCCUUCUGAAGACCAUGAUGUAAUUAGUACAACGUUAUGGACAGAUACGAGGCAAACAUCU